UGGAGGCUUACAUGGGAGAAACCUGGACUGAGGACGAUGUUGAACUACAGCAUUGUAUUGCAUUAGGAAACUACACAGAAGCCCCAUGCAAGUGGUGCCUAUUGUUUUCAUGAUCGGAGCCUUCUUUCU